rnacentral:rRNA from 1 species
CAGUAGCCGCGGGAAUACGAAGGGGGCUAGCGUUGUUCGGAAUUACUGGGCGUAAAGCGCACGUAGGCGGAUAUUUAAGUCAGGGGUGAAAUCCCAGAGCUCAACUCUGGAACUGCCUUUGAUACUGGGUAUCUUGAGUAUGGAAGAGGUGAGUGGAAUUCCGAGUGUAGAGGUGAAAUUCGUAGAUAUUCGGAGGAACACCAGUGGCGAAGGCGGCUCACUGGUCCAUUACUGACGCUGAGGUGCGAAAGCGUGGGGAGCAAACAGGAUUAGAGACCCCCGUAGUCCCUGUCUCUUAUAC